rnacentral:rRNA from 1 species
UACGUAGGUGGCAAGCGUUAACCGGAUUUAUUGGGCGUAAAGGGAACGCAGGCGGUCUUUUAAGUCUGAUGUGAAAGCCUUCGGCUUAACCGGAGUAGUGCAUUGGAAACUGGGAGACUUGAGUGCAGAAGAGGAGAGUGGAACUCCAUGUGUAGCGGUGAAAUGCGUAGAUAUAUGGAAGAACACCAGUGGCGAAAGCGGCUCUCUGGUCUGUAACUGACGCUGAGGUUCGAAAGCGUGGGUAGCAAACAGG